ensembl:lncRNA
GUAUCUCAUAUAUACGUGGGAGCAACUCAGGGAUGAGUAACUCAAAGGGGUGGCUAGAACUUGGGCUUAUAUAGCUGAUAAAAGAAAGAGAAAAGAACGAGGCCAGAGUCGACGUGAUGAUUACCAUGACCGCCUCAAGGCUGAACUAUGGGCAGAAAUAAAAACCUACAUUUUAACCUUCACUGUCACCAGAUGGCCGGAGAACAACUCGGUAGUAUUUCCCUGCAGUUAGAACAUUUAGAAAGCCCCGGACACAAGAUAAACUGUAGCUGAAAAGGGUGACCAAUCAGAACUGGACUCAGCCUUAACCUUGCGUACUCUGCACCUUUUACCUUUAAAACCUGGCCACCCCAAGACCGAGGCAGCACAGGUGUUAGCUCAGGGCUAAUCUUCCUCAGCAAAAAAUAAAAAAUAAAAGAUAAUUGUAUUUUUCCAACUUGGGGCAUGCCUUCCACAGUCUCCAGUGAUCAAGGCACCUGCGUCACUGAGCAAACCGUGCAAACUUUAAUGAAAAUCCUUUAAACUUCUUGGACUUUUAAACUUCUUGGCUCCUAUCAUCCUCAAUCAUCAGGCAAAGUUAAGAAAGUUAAUGGAAAAACUGGAUUCAAGCAGAAGAAAUCUUAAAUUGCAUGGGGCUAUGUGAAUUGAGGAAGACGUUCUAAUGUUUUGCUUUUCCAGAUUUAAAGAAAUCUUUUCUCUUAAGCUAAAUAUGACUUAUAGCAAUUUGUAAGCAGAAUUGAAGCGUUGAUCUUUUUCUCCCUACCUGAUCCCUCCAGAAUUUGGAAACUCUUGAUAAGUGAGUGUUCUUAUUUUUCAUGGCAAUAUGAUUGUUUGCAUAAGUUCGAAUAGAAUCUGUUAUCCUGAUAGCAGCACACGGCUGGAAACACUGGUUAUAUUACCAAGGCUUUGACUGGAAUGUCAUGUUAAACAAACAAACAAGAAACCCCCAAAACAUGCAUAGACUCGGAUAUGACCAAACAGCUUUAAGGAACAAGGAUUGACUUUAUGGAACAAAUAAAGCCACUUGGAAAUAUUGGCCUGGUACCUUGCUUAUAGGGUUCCCAGCAACCUUACCAGAACAACAGGAGGACUGCUGCUAAGAGAGCAACUUGCUGACAGCCUCCCUCACCUGACUAAGGAUUGCACAGCGGUGUCUGGACGCCACCCUGCCACUGGCAAGCCACAUGAUGCUGACUCAAGCCACCACCUACGUUCAGCCCAUGCUGCACUCUGAUGCCUCCUACACGGGACUGGAUGGGGCCCAAAACAGCCGAGGGGGCACUUGGGCAUCAAGGGACCUGAAUACUCCCCAAAUUGAUCAAAGGUGUCGCCCUGGCAAACCUAUGAUUAAGAGGGGGAAAUGACAAAAGAAAGAGAUAAGAACGAGGCCAGAGUCAACGUGACCCCCUCAAGGCUGAACUAUGGGCAGAAAUAAAAGAUUACAUUUUAACCUCCACUGUCACCAGGACGGCCGGAGACGAUGCGGUCGUUUUUUUCCCUGCAGUUAGAACACUUAGAAAGCCCCGGGCACAAGACAAACUGUAGCUGGAAAGGGUGGCCGAUCAGAGCGGGACUCAGCCCUAACGUUGCAUACUCUGCACAUUUUUGCCUUUCCAACCUGGCCACCCCGAGACCGGGGGGGUGGGAGGCGGGGGGUGCUCACCUAUCAACUUGCGAGUUGAGGCAUACUUCCCUGGUUUGCAAACGUUUAAUAAAGCUUCUCUUUUCUUUAAAACUUAUCUUUGCCUCAUCAAGCUGCUCAUUUGGGUUAACACAGCCUCUUAAAACAAAAGAAACAAAGAAACAAAAAAACCCAUAAGUUUCCAGACAAAUGACAAGACAAAGGGAAAGGACUUUGAGUUUCUGGGGUGGCAAACCGUGGAAAGGUAAAUAUGUGGGGAAUGAUGGAAGAUAAGGGCUAGUCACCAACGUUUGUUGUGCAGAGCCCUCUGGUGCCAGUCUCUGGGCUGAUAAGGGUCUAGAGUUGUCGGGUGAUUAACUUCUGUACAAAUUUGUGUCCUGCUUUUAGGCAAAUAGGGGAGAGGCAGAGAGCUUUUCUCCUGUCUGCUUCAGCUCAAAGUAAU